CAAUAGCGUAUAUUAAAGUUGUUGCAGUUAAAAAGCUCGUAGUUGGAUUUGUGGUGUACUUCGGCGGCCCGUCACUAUGUGAUGGAGCUUGCUGAAGUCGCCAUCCUUGGGUGGAUCCUGUGUGGCAUUAAGUUGUCGUGCAGGGGAUGCCCAUCGUUUACUGUGAAAAAAUUAGAGUGUUCAAAGCAGGCUUAUGCCGUUGAAUAUGUUAGCAUGGAAUAAUAAGAUAGGACCUUGGUACUAUUUUGUUGGUUUGCGCACCAAGGUAAUGAUUAAUAGGGACAGUUGGGGGUAUUCGUAUUUCAUUGUCAGAGGUGAAAUUCUUGGAUUUUUGAAAGACGAACUACUGCGAAAGCAUUUACCAAGGAUGUUUNCAUUA
rnacentral:rRNA from 1 species